UAGGAAUAUGACACCCUCUUCCCCCUUGAACAUGCCCCUGCCCAUGUUAGACGGUUACACCGUAUUCAAGGAUUGACUGCACCAAACAGAAGUAGUGUACAUGGAAACAAAUGAUGGCAGAAUUGAGGAGGGAGGUAUUACACUUAAUGAAUCCAAGAGUCUUAAGAGCACACCCAACAGUAACAUUGAUAUGGUACAUAUGUUUGAAAAAAAAGUGAAAAAAAAAGUAAAACCUAUUUUUAUAAUAAUAUCAACGCGUAGAAGAAGAAAGCUGCCAAGAGAAUAAGGGUAGUAGGGGAUAAGAUAACGUUUCCUGGAGGGUCAUGGCGUGAUAUUUUUCGAUGCUAAGUUUAAGGCAAACUAAUAAAUAGAUUGAAUUACAGUAAUCAAACUAAAAGAAAAUUAUUCAUAAUGAAACUGUUCAAAUAAUAUUACUGUUUUCGUUUUUAAUAACGUUCGGCCUCGUGAAGUGUGUUGGCACAAAAUUAAAACAACAAAAAAAAAAC